UUUUUUUUAAAAGUCAUCCAAAAACUGCAUGUCACAACAAAGUGAUAUUGAUAUCUUGGAAAAUGUAUUUAAAAUCUAAUGUUUAAGAUGCUCCUGCACAGAUCUGCACAUCAUGUUUUGAGGCAAACGCCUGACCCACAUGUAGGAAACUAUCAGGAGACAACAAUUAAGCAGAGGCAGAGAUGCAUCACUGCUAGGAAGCAGUCUGUUUUUCUGGUGAAGUCAUUAGGAUUUCUUAUCUCGCCUCUCAGACGAUAGGCAGCAGGGAGCCACGGAAAAUGUUACUGACAGCUCAGGGCAGACCCAAGAAGACAGACAGAGGACCGGAGUGGGAGAUCAAUGAUAAUGUCAUCUGAUGACAUUGCUGAGAGAGCUGUUCCCCUCCGGUGGUCCCACCAUCGACCCACUCUCACUUGAAGACGGUGAAUUUUGUUUGGCUUUAAUCUUCCCAUCAGACAACACAAAGCGAGCGAUGUGCUGCGAGUGUUUUCCAUUUUGGGCCCCCAGGAGAAUUGUGUCAGGUUGCGCAAGUGCACAAGCGCAGAUACGUCAGUGUGGCACAUUGACAGGCAGC